rnacentral:tRNA from 16 species
AGGAAAGGGAGGGAUUC